rnacentral:rRNA from 1 species
CACGUAGGGCGCAAGCGUUGUCCGGAAUUAUUGGGCGUAAAGAGCGUGUAGGCGGUUCGGUAAGUCUGCCGUGAAAACCUGGGGCUCAACCCUGGGCGUGCGGUGGAUACUGCCGGGCUAGAGGGUGGUAGAGGCGAGUGGAAUUCCCGGUGUAGCGGUGAAAUGCGCAGAUAUCGGGAGGAACACCGGUGGCGAAGGCGGGUCUCUGGGCAGUAACUGGACGCUGAGGAGCGAAAGCGUGGGGAGCGAACAGG